rnacentral:rRNA from 1 species
ACAAGUACCGUGAGGGAAAGUUGCAAAGCACUUUGAAGAGAGAGUUAAAGAGGACGUGAAACCGAUGAGGUGGAAACGGAUAGAGCUAGCGUAUCUAGCCUGUAUUCAGCCAUGUGUUUGCUGGUGCCUGGGGUGUUCGAUCUCCAGAUUGGGACGGCGUCUAGGUUAUCGGUAGUCAUGUGGUGCAUUUGCAGGUAUUGUGCGACAAGUACCGUGAGGGAAAGUUGCCGAGAUGCUUGGGAUGGCGGCAUCAUCUUAGUUUUGAGGCCAGCUUGCUGGUACCCAGGCUAGGGUAGUGCUGUUCAUACUGAGUUUUGUAUGUUUAUAGGCAUGGCUUACGAGCUUGGGUGAGUUCGAGCUGGCAGUCGGUUACGGUCGCAUGCGACACGUGCCGUGCAGUCAGUUCGGUCCUAUUCGAGUUCUCAUGUCUGUUCUCGGUGUAAAAGCUGGUCAUCUAUCCGACCCGUCUUGAAACACGGACCAAGGAGUUUAUCGUUUGCGCGAGUCAUUGGGUGUUGAAAACCCAAAGGCGAAAUGAAAGUGAAUGUUUCCGUAAGGGACUGACGUGCGAUCCUGGUCAUCUCGGUGUCUGGGAGCAGCAUGGCCCCAUCCUGACUGCUUGCAGUGGGGUGGAGGUAGAGCGUAAGCGGUGAGACCCGAAAGAUGGUGAACUAUUCCUGAGCAAGAUGAAGUCAGAGGAAACUCUGAUGGAAGUCUGAAACGGUUCUGACGUGCAAAUCGAUCGUCUGACUUGGGUAUAGGGGCGAAAGACUAAUCGAACCAUCUAGUAGCUGGUUCCUUCCGA